rnacentral:rRNA from 1 species
GACGAACGCUGGCGGCGUGCUUAACACAUGCAAGUCGAACGAAGUGGCGAACGGGUGAGUAACGCAUAAUCAACCUGCCCUUCCGCGGGGGCCAACAGUUGGCAACGACUGCUAAUACCGCAUACUGAAGGAGGGGCUUGCGUCCGAUUAGCAAGGUGGUGGGGUAAAGGCCUACCAAUGCGACGAUACGUAACGGGUCUUAGAGGAUGAUCAGUCACACUGGAACUGAGACACGGUCCAGACUCCUACGGUAGGCAGCAGUGGGGAAGAUUGGACAAUGGGCGAAAGCCUGAUCCAGCCAUGCCGCGUGUGUGAAGAAGGUCUUCGGAUUGUAAAGCACUUUAAGUUGGGAGGCGUUACCAACAGAAUAAGCACCGGCUAACUUCGUGCCAGCAGCCGCGGUAAUAC